rnacentral:rRNA from 1 species
GACGAACGCUGGCGGCGCGCCUAACACAUGCAAGUCGAGCGAGAACCAGGACUUCGGUCCUGGGGACAGCGGCGAACGGGUGAGUAACACGUGGAUAACCUGCCCUCGGCACCGGAAUAGCCCGGGGAAACUCGGAUUAAUGCCGGAUAGCCCCACAUCCCUGCGGGGAACGUGGGAAAAGGUAGCUUCGGCCUCUGGCCGGGGAUGGGUCCGCGGUGGAUUAGCUUGUUGGCGGGGCAAUGGCCCACCGAGGCGACGAUCCAUAGCUGGUCUGAGAGGACGAUCAGCCACACUGGGACUGAGACACGGCCCAGACUCCUACGGGAGGCAGCAGUGGGGAGUCUUGCGCAAGGGGCGAAAGCCUGACGCAGCGACGCCGCGUGCGGGAAGAAGGCCUUCGGGUUGUAAACCGCUUUCAGGGGGGACGAAGCCACUCGGGUGAAUAGCCCAGAGGGUGACGGUACCUCCAGAAGAAGCCCCGGCUAACUACGUGCCAGCCGCCGCCGUAA